AGCUGGAAAAAGGUACAACCCAGAUAGCACAACUACGUUGGGCCAACGUUAUAAUCCGCCGGCAACCGUUGUACGCGGUUUUACAACCAUUUACCAUGGUAAGGCCAUGAUUGGCCUUCAACGAAACACGCCAUUAUGCGAAGAAAUGGGCGCGCGAUUCGAAUAUAGCACAUGAGGUCGCCAUUCAUUUUGGCGGUACUCGUAAUCGAUAGCCUGUUACGAGGUUUUUGCCGUGUAGGCUAUGGGACAGUGACAUUGAACUUUUAAUGCUUUCAUAGUAGAAUGGCGAAAGUAGAGAUAGCCUAGUUGUAACCGUGUAAGUUAAUCUCAUGGUACCGGUACCCUAAGUGCGUUGUCAGGUCACGGUUCAUAAGGGUGAUAGGGUACCGUACCAUACCGGUAAAAGUUACAUAUUUAUCCCUGGACACCGUAGGUACCGGUAACGACAGAACGAGAUGAGGUCCGGUACCGUACUUGGUCUUUUGGCAUUUUUUUGUUAAACUUUCUUAGGUUGCCAUCUCUCAUUUACCAGUAUUCGUUAUCGAGUACCGGUACCUAUGGUACAUACCGGUAAAAGUUACAUAUUCAUCCCUGGACACCGUAGGUACCGGUAACGACAGAACGAGAUGAGGCCCUAUGACAAUGGACUGGAAAAUUCAACUGCUUCAAUUCCCUCUUUCACGCAAUCAUAUACUGUGUCAUUUCAAGCAUCUCAAUGUUUCAAUGCGGACAAUGCCCAAAACAGAGAUCAAGCCAUGCUCCAAUCCAGUCCAUGGAAAAAUUGUUGGGACAGGCGGUAGAAACUCUUAUGCUACAAGCUACAGCAUCUGCAACUUUCCACUGAUUAUAGUGUGGACUCGGACAUACAGGAAUUGAUGAAAUUCAUUGUCUGAUUACAUUUUGAUCCAGAAUACAUUCAAGGAUGAAAAAAUGGCUCCUCUGGAUGAUCUGGCAACGAACUCCGAUUAAUUUUAUUACAUGUAUACAUAUUUGUAAAAUAAAGACAUUUUGUUAUCUUUUGUUUUUUAUUAUAUAAAUAAUGUUA